GAGACAACCGCUGAACAUGACACACUAUUUUCCUAAGUAAACAACCAUUUCUUUAACAAUCUCUUCGCCUUCAAAUUUUGUGAAGCCAAGCGCAAAUUAUGUAAAGUCUACCAGCAAUGACAAAAAUAGCGUGUCAACUGGGGCAGGGGUAGCAAGAAAAUAAUAGACCUACACACAAAGUCCACUUUCACUUGCUGUAAUUAAUCGCAACCAUUUCAAAGUCCCCUUCCAUCUUUAUCUCGAGUAUUUUAACAAACUAGCAAGUGCAUCAGUUUGAGUUCGUUUUAAUUGAAACAUUUAACUAUCAGAACGGCUGACAGAUACUACAGGACACUAGGCCCCGAAUAAUCUUAUUAAUAGAUCCAGACCCCCAAGCGGUCUGAAGCUCGCAAUAAUAAAGAGGAUUUAAGAUUAACCAAGAAACGGCCGUUAGAGACCCUUUCC
rnacentral:lncRNA from 1 species